rnacentral:sRNA from 1 species
AUGGAGCGCUUUUACCCAAAAGAAAGCGAAUGGUGUUAAAGCAUUGAUUUUUAAAUUCAAAUUCGUCUUAUCCCUUGGCGUUGCUUUAGCAUUAUGAACUCCCUAAUACUCCCUUUAACCGCAUCCCCCUGGUGCGGUUAAUUUU